rnacentral:rRNA from 1 species
GACGAACGCUGGCGGCGUGCUUAACACAUGCAAGUCGAACGGAAAGGCCCUGCUUUUGUGGGGUGCUCGAGUGGCGAACGGGUGAGUAACACGUGAGUAACCUGCCCUUGACUUUGGGAUAACUUCAGGAAACUGGGGCUAAUACCGGAUAGGAGCUCCUGCUGCAUGGUGGGGGUUGGAAAGUUUCGGCGGUUGGGGAUGGACUCGCGGCUUAUCAGCUUGUUGGUGGGGUAGUGGCUUACCAAGGCUUUGACGGGUAGCCGGCCUGAGAGGGUGACCGGCCACAUUGGGACUGAGAUACGGCCCAGACUCCUACGGGAGGCAGCAGUGGGGAAUAUUGGACAAUGGGCGAAAGCCUGAUCCAGCCAUGCCGCGUGUGUGAAGAAGGUCUUCGGAUUGUAAAGCACUUUAAGUUGGGAGGAAGGGCAGUAAGUUAAUACCUUGCUGUUUUGACGUUACCAACAGAAUAAGCACCGGCUAACUUCGUG